ACGGGAGGCAGCAGUCGGGAAUAUUGCGCAAUGGGGGAAACUCUGACGCAGUGACGCCGCGUAUAGGAAGAAGGUUUUCGGAUUGUAAACUAUUGUCGUUAGGGAAGAUACAAGACAGUACCUAAGGAGGAGGCCCCGGCUAACUAUGUGCCAGCAGCCGCGGUAAUACAUAGGGGGCAAGCGUUAUCCGGAUUUAUUGGGUGUAAAGGGUGCGUAGACGGAGAAACAAGUUGGUUGUGAAAUCCCUCGGCUUAACUGAGGAACUGCAACCAAAACUAUUUCCCUUGAGUGUCGGAGGGGAAAGUGGAAUUCCUAGUGUAGCGGUGAAAUGCGUAGAUAUUAGGAGGAACACCGGUGGCGAAGGCGACUUUCUGGACGAUAACUGACGUUGAGGCACGAAAGUGUGGGGAGCAAACAGGAUUAGAUACCCUGGUA
rnacentral:rRNA from 1 species